rnacentral:rRNA from 1 species
GAUGAACGCUGGCGGCGUGCCUAAUACAUGCAAGUCGAGCGAAGCGGGGACGGGUGAGUAACACGUGGAUAACCUCCUAUAAGACUGGGGUAAAUUCGGGAAACCGGAGCUAAACCGGAAACUGAUAGAUGGAGCCACGCUUAAUUAGCUAGUUGGUAGGGUAACGGCUUACCAGUGCAACGAUGCAUAGCCGGCCUGAGAGGGUGAUCUGCCACACUGGAACUGCGACACGGGCCAGACUCCUACGGGAGGCAGCAGUAGGGAAUCUUCCGCAAGGGGCGAAAGCCUGACGGAGCAACGCCGCGUGUGUGAUGAAGGUCUUCGGAUCGUAAAACGCUGUUAUUAGGGAAGCGGUACCUAAUCAGAAAGCCACGGCUAACUACGUGCCAGCCGCCGCGGUAAUUC